AGGUCAACACUUGAGGGACAGAGGUCAUAAAUGCUGCAAUUGUCCAUUGUUUUUGUGGGAGUUUAUUGCAGCUUUGGGCUGGCACAGCCAAGGAACUUGCCUUCAAAAUAGGCUCAAGGUAUGUGGAUAUAGGUAAUGCUGAUUCCCUUCGGUUCUCGCUUAAAAUGACAGGAUCUGGUCCUUGUGGUCUAGCUUUAUUUGGAAGGAUGAUCACUUUAGCAAGUCCUAUUUCAUUUGCUAUGAUUUACCUCAGAACAAUGAAUAUAAUUUCAGUUCUUUUGCUCUUUGUUCUCACAAAACACCUAUGGCCUUGUAACAAAUCUCACAUAAAAUUAAAUUUUAUUUUAUUAUUCUCUUCCACAAGGUUGUGCGAAAAUUCCAGGAGCCCUCUAGACAAGAGCUAUUUGCUUUACAGAUUUCUCCUGGCCAAACAAGGCAAUUAAUGACUGCUUUCACAAGGUUGGGGAAUCCACAGCUACAGUUAAGAGGGGUAAAAAAAAAAAUGUGAUAAAUAAACAACUCCGUCCACAAUCUCUUCCUCAGGAAACCAGCAUGGGAAGCGCAGGCAUUUAGAAUGACAAUUCAGCAUGUUCUGCCAAAGAGAGACUUUCCAAAACAGCUGUAGAAAUGGCUACAAUUUCCUUGAAUGUCCAUUUUAAUAACAUUAUAGCCUCUACUGUUUAUGCAUUAAUCUAACUGUUUUCAUGUUGUCAGCUAUACCUUUUGCAGUUGUAUAAUCUUUAAAUCCAUGUAAGUAACCCUCAAGAAGGAGUGUCAGACUUCAACAAACACUGCCAUCUAUGAACCCAGCUACCUUUCAGCCGCCAUUCAUUCAGGCUAAAUAGCCCAAGCCUCUCAACCUUUCCUCGUAAGAGAGAUGCUCCAGUCCCCUAAUCACCUUUGAGGCCCUCCACUGGACUAUCUCCAGUACUUCCUUGUCUUUCUCGAGCUGGUGAGUCCAGAACUGGACUCAGUAUUCCAGAUGGAGCCUCGCUAGGACAGAAUGUAUGAAAUUUGGAAGUGGGAUAGCUUACUCACCAUAGAUGAUUCAUAUCUUCACCUAGUUUGGAGUGGUUCACCACACUGUGGUCACAGCUCCAGAAGUGUCAGAUGAUCAUCAGACAUUAAUCUUACCUGUAAGACUGAUUGAUUUUUUUCCAGCUUUCUAGAGGUUUUAUAACUUUCUAACCUCUCCUUCCAACUCCAAACAAUUUAGGUUCUAUACAAAGCAUUAGGAAACUGUUCAGAAAAUAAUUAACAUACUGUAUUCCAUAACAGACAAAGCUCCUAAAGCCAGAGCUCUGGGGACUCAAGUGCAGAGAUACUGCCCUUCUCAGGGACUCUGAAAGCACUUUUCCAUGUUCCCUUUCAAAAGUUUUAUCUUUUCCAGUUUUAAAUCUUUUUGUCUAGACAGCAGUAAGUAACUGGCAUACCUUUCAGUCAAGAAUGGUAUAGUUAAGUCUUUCAGAUAUAUAUAGCUGGAUGUUUAAAUACAAAAAUAAAUUCCUAAAGCUCUACUUAUUAGUAGCAUCUGUCUCGUGCUUGAUGUGUACUUCUCAGAAAUAUUCUAAUACCUACAGAUGCUAUAUUUAAGCAACCUUGCUUCUGCUUUGGUGAUCACAUGUCGUGCGCUGCCUAUAUUGUUGAUUUUGUUGCUAAGCCCCGCUGUGAGUUCUGGUUUCCAGUGUUUCAGGUUACAUGUUUAAACCUGGCCUUCCAACUGUUUCACACUAUCCUGUGUGUUCCCGUCUACUAAAGCUGAUACUCUGGAGGCCCUCUCUUUCCAGAAUGGUCCACAUUGGUAUGAAAAAUUGAGUAGAAAGAGGAGUUAUGAUUACAGAUUUUUUGUUUAUGAUAGUUGUUAAGUUUCCAGUUUGGUAAUGUCAUAAAAAGGAAGCCUUAGGAAGAACAUAUUGGGUGUAUGUGGUCAGCCGAUUGGCCUCUGCCACCUUUCCUAGACAAUUGUAGCCAUUAAGGAAGAAAAUCUGGAAAAUAUGAUGAACCCAGCAGACAUCAAAGCUGAGAAACCAAGACAACUAUAGAGAAAAUAAUUCUACUCAAAACUUCUUUCCUACAAGCCUUCAAUUUGAUCUUUUUCUUUAGGACAAAGAAGGAAAAAUUUGCUCUUAUGGACACCACUUUGGAGGAUUAUAUUUAGGUCCAUUGGUUUUACUACCAGAGAGCUCCCUGUAUACCUGUGAGGUCUCAAGUAACUUACAGUAUAAAGCAUCAGUGACUUCCAGUGGGACUCGGGCUAUCCCAGUUAAAUUUUGUGCAUGGUGACAUAUCAGUCACAGUGACAGGGCUUCAUUUCUGCAAGUAGAAACUCCUCUUGCACUGCGUUAUGGAAAUUAUUGCACUGUGCCAGGAAACUUUAUGUUACUCCAUCAGGCACAACUCCAUUCCUUUGACUCUCUGAAUAUUUUCUGUGCAUGGCUACAGGUAGAUUGUGUUUCUUCAGUUAAAUAACUCUGCUGUCUACAUGUCUGUCUAAAUGUCUGUCUAAAUGUUUUGAUUCAUUGUAAAAGCUUUCGGCAACAUCUUAUUACUCCUUUGAUUAGAGCAGCCACCAUUGUUUGUUAUUAUAUUUAAAGCAAAGAAAUACAAACAUCCUUACCAUCAAAAGGGCUAGGCGGGGUAGUGCUGAAUGUAGGUUGUUUUUAAUCUCUGUACAGUCUUCAUUUUGUGCUUAUCUUUCUGUGUGCCUGUUUUGCCCUCUGGUCCAGAAGAAGCUGCUGUUUUUCAGGAUGCAACAAAAAGCAUUUUCUGAAAACUUGCUUCUGGGGAGUGAAAGGCAGAGAAAAAAUCCAAGAUGAACAAAUCCAUACACCGAGGUUGACUUUACCUUUGCUUGGAUUUCCAUACACCUACACUAGUGCAUUGAUCUACAUGUCAAAAAGAGCUGGUUCAUUUCAGUUUACAGAUUUUACAUUG